rnacentral:rRNA from 1 species
UACGUAGGGGGCGAGCGUUGUCCGGAAUCAUUGGGCGUAAAGCGCGUGUAGGCGGCUUGGUAAGUCCGGUGUGAAACCUUGGGGCUCAACCCCAAGCCUGCACUGGAUACUGCCUCGCUUGAGUCCGGGAGGGGAGAGCGGAAUUCCUAGUGUAGCGGUGAAAUGCGCAGAUAUUAGGAAGAACACCGGUGGCGAAGGCGGCUCUCUGGAACGGUACUGACGCUGAGACGCGAAAGCGUGGGGAGCGAACGAGGA